AGAAAGACCAAGCAACACCUGGAAUUCAACCAAUCUUAGAAAGAUGUUAAAUGUUUAAUAUAGGCAGCUACGCAUUCAUGGAAAUGUCAUUCAUAGCUAUUUAAAACGCCAUGAACUUUUAUGCAACCAGAGGUACAGACAGUAUGUAUGGGAUAAGCUACUUCAAUGGGAUCAAACAAUUUGUAAUGGAAUACAAGCCCUAUGAAGCUAUAUGGUUUCAAAGCUAUGGAUAAGAACAUACCUUAGAUGAAAUGUAAAAAGA
rnacentral:misc_RNA from 1 species